rnacentral:rRNA from 1 species
UACGAAGGGGGCUAGCGUUGCUCGGAAUCACUGGGCGUAAAGCGCACGUAGGCGGAUUGCUAAGUCAGGGGUGAAAUCCUGGAGCUCAACUCCAGAACUGCCUUUGAUACUGGCGACCUUGAGUCCGGGAGAGGUGAGUGGAACUGCGAGUGUAGAGGUGAAAUUCGUAGAUAUUCGCAAGAACACCAGUGGCGAAGGCGACUUACUGGACACAUAUUGACGCUGAGGUGCGAAAAGCGUGGGGAGCAAACAGGG